rnacentral:tRNA from 2 species
GUGGCCAUAGCUUAACGGUGAAAGUCGCGGAUUGUGAUUCCGCUUAUCCCGGUUCGAUUCCGGGUGGUCACCCCA